rnacentral:rRNA from 1 species
UCCUGCCAGUAGUGUAUGCUUCUCCUAAAGACUAAGCCAUGCAUGCCCGGAAUACUACGAUUAUAUCUUUCGAAUCUGCGAACGGCUCCGCAUACCAGUUGUAAACUAUCGCAAGCUAGACCGGGGACGGGCUCUCUCGGGAGCCCGCCUUCGGGCUGUUAGGAUAACCCUGGUAAUUCUAAGGCUAAUACUCGUAUUAACCCCUAGUUAACCGGAAAGGCCCUUCACGGGGUCGGACUGGAAGGCUGGGGGACGUGUGUAUAAGCUUGAGAUGAACCAGGAAAGGAUGCACGUCCAGACCCGGCUAAAAGAGGAUGCGGACCACCCGUGUAUCCCCGCCUUCACGGGCGGGGAGAGAAGUGUAUGAACCUCGUUGGCUCUUGCUGUGUGCAUCUGACCUAUCAACUAGAUGGCAGCGUAACGGACAUGCCAUGGUUACAACGGGUACAGAGGAUUAGGGUUCGAUCCUGGAGAGUGGGCCUGAGAGAUUGCUCAUACUUCUAAGGAAGGCAGCAGGCGCGCAACGUUCCCCUUGGGCAAAGCCCGAGGGCGUUAGGGGACAUAUGAAUGCCUGCCCAUUGGGUGGGCAAUUCAAAUGGGUCUGUCGUAAACAGGCUCUCGAGUAACAAUUAGAGGACAAGUCUGGUGCCAGCACCCGCGGUAAUUCCAGCUCUAAUAGCAUACGUUAAAGUUGUUGCGGUUAAAACGCUCGUAGUCGGCUCCAGACCGUCAGAAGCCUGAACCGGAAGCUCGGGUCCGCUGCCUCACAAGGGCGCGCCGAGUGACUGGCAAAGGUGGGCGGCGGUCAAUCGCAUUUCUGUCUGCAUCCCUCACGGGCGGCAAUGGCUCAGACCAGCCUCUUCACGGGGGCUGGACUGGGGGGCAGGGUGCCACUUACCAUGACUAAACUGGGGCGAUCAAGGUAGUCAAGGAUUAUUGAACAGCACAGCAUGGAAUAAGUUAAGCCGACCUGGCCUUCUCAAGCGGGCUAGGUUGGCAGGGGCAAAAGGGGUGUUCGAGGGUGACCGAAUUGCCAGGCGAGUGGUGAAAUACGUUGACCCUGGCAAGUCGACCAAAGGCGAAAGCAGUCAUCAAGGGCACACCCGUUGAUCAAGAGCGAAAGUUAAGGGUUCGAAAGCGAUCAGAUACCGCUGUAGUCUUAACUAUAAAUGAUACUGACCGGAGGUGGGAUCCUGUCCAUCUCGACUCUUCCUGGAUCCUGGAGAAAUCAGAGUAUCUGAGUUCUGGGGGGAGUAUGGUCGCAAGGCUGAAACUUAAAGGAAUUGACGGAAGGGCACACAAAGAGUGGAACCUGCGGCUUAAUUUGACUCAACACGGGGAAACUCACCAGGUCCAGAUACAAGAACGAGAGACAAGCUGAAAGACUUUUCUCAAUAGUGUAAGUGGUGGUGCAUGGCCGUUCGUAGUUCGUGGAGUGGUUUGUCUGGUCUAUUCCGAUAACGAGCGAGACCCCUCCGUUCCUACUAGGGGUGGUUGCCCGGCUUGACCCGGCCCCUUCACGGGGGCUAGGACUUGCUAGCAACCACCUUAGAAAUUGCUUCUUAGACGAAUCAGAGCCGAUAAGGUUCUUGAAAUGGGUUAAUAACAGGUCAGUCAUGCCCUUAGAUGUUCUGGGCCGCACGCGCGUUACAAUGGCCUCCAAAGAUAGUGCUUAAACAAAGCGUUCCCGCGGCCGAAAGGCUGCGGUAACCCCUAGUUGACGCCUUGACUGGGAUGGACUAUUGCAACUAUUGGUCUUAAACGAGGAAUUUUUAGUAGUCGCACGUCAUCAACGUGCGACGAAUGAGUCCCUGCCCUUUGUACACACCGCCCGUCGCUGCUACCGAUUGGGUUUUGCGGUUACGAGUUCGGAGGCUGAGGACACCGCCUGCUCACGCGGGUGGCAAUCUCGGCUAAAGUCCUAAUUACCGCACGGCCUAGAGGAAGCAGAAGUCGUAACAAGGUAAUCGUAGGUGAACCUGCAGAAGGAUC